rnacentral:rRNA from 1 species
AGUGGCGGACGGGUGAGUAACGCGUGAGAAUCUGCCCUGGGGUCGGGGACAACCACUGGAAACGGUGGCUAAUACCGGAUAAGCCGAUUGGUGAAAGAUUUAUUGCCCGAAGAGGAGCUCGCGUCUGAUUAGCUAGUUGGUGAGGUAAGAGCUCACCAAGGCAGCGAUCAGUAGCUGGUCUGAGAGGACGAUCAGCCACACUGGGACUGAGACACGGCCCAGACUCCUACGGGAGGCAGCAGUGGGGAAUUUUCCGCAAUGGGCGAAAGCCUGACGGAGCAAGACCGCGUGAGGGAGGAAGGCUCUUGGGUUGUAAACCUCUUUUCUCAGGGAAGAAGCUCUGACGGUACCUGAGGAAUCAGCCUCGGCUAACUCCGUGCCAGCAGCCGCGGUAAUACGGAGGAGGCAAGCGUUAUCCGGAAUUAUUGGGCGUAAAGCGUCCGCAGGUGGCGAUUCAAGUCUGCUGUCAAAGCACGGGGCUUAACUCCGUAAAGGCAGUGGAAACUGAAUAGCUAGAGUGCCGUAGGGGUAGAGGGAAUUCCCGGUGUAGCGGUGAAAUGCGUAGAGAUCGGGAAGAACAUCGGUGGCGAAAGCGCUCUACUGGACGGCAACUGACACUCAGGGACGAAAGCUAGGGGAGCGAAUGGGAUUAGAUACCCC